rnacentral:rRNA from 1 species
CAGUCGCGUUCUCUGGGAUUCAGCCUUGCUUCUUGCCUGGUGUACUCCUCAGUAAAUGGGCCAGCAUCAAUUUCGGGCGCCGGAAAAGGAUUUGAGGAAUGUGACAGCUUGCUGUGUUAUAGCCUCUUGUCGUACACGGUGCUUGGGAUUGAGGACUGCAGCACGCCUUUUGGCGGGGUUCUCCCGACGCCCACGUGCUUAGGAUGCUGGCGUAAUGGCUUUAAACGACCCGUCUUGAAACACGGACCAAGGAGUCUAACAUAUAUGCGAGUGUU